CCCGGUGAAGUUUUUUACGGCCGCGGUACUCUGACCGUGCAAAGGUAGCAUAAUCAUUUGCCUUGUAAUUGAAGGCUGGUAUGAAUGGUUUGACAAGAAUACAACUGUCUCUUUAUGAUUUGGUAGAAUUUUAUUUUUAGGUGAAAAAGCCUUAAUUUGAUUAAUAGACAAGAAGACCCUGUCAAGCUUUAAGGAAUUUAGUGGGUUAGAAAACUAAUUAGUGGAAAAAGGAAUCUGUUAAAUAUUUUGGUUGGGGCGACUGAGGAACAUAUAAAGCUUCCUUUAAUAUGUUAUUAAUACAUACAGGUAUUGAUCCAAGAAUGUUGAUUAAAGAAAUUAGUUACCGUAGGGAUAACAGCAUUAUCUUUUUUGAGAGUUCUUAUCGAAAAAAGGGUUUGUGACCUCGAUGUUGGACCAGAAUGUCCUAAAGAUGCAGAAGUCUUUGAGGGUUGGUCUGUUCGACCAUUAAAAUUCUA
rnacentral:rRNA from 1 species